GCGGGUGCCUAUACAUGCAAGUCGAACGAACUCUGGUAUUGAUUGGUGCUUGCAUCAUGAUUUACAUUUGAGUGAGUGGCGAACUGGUGAGUAACACGUGGGAAACCUGCCCAGAAGCGGGGGAUAACACCUGGAAACAGAUGCUAAUACCGCAUAACAACUUGGACCGCAUGGUCCGAGCUUGAAAGAUGGCUUCGGCUAUCACUUUUGGAUGGUCCCGCGGCGUAUUAGCUAGAUGGUGGGGUAACGGCUCACCAUGGCAAUGAUACGUAGCCGACCUGAGAGGGUAAUCGGCCACAUUGGGACUGAGACACGGCCCAAACUCCUACGGGAGGCAGCAGUAGGGAAUCUUCCACAAUGGACGAAAGUCUGAUGGAGCAACGCCGCGUGAGUGAAGAAGGGUUUCGGCUCGUAAAACUCUGUUGUUAAAGAAGAACAUAUCUGAGAGUAACUGUUCAGGUAUUGACGGUAUUUAACCAGAAAGCCACGGCUAACUACGUGCCAGCAGCCGCGGUAAUACGUAGGUGGCAAGCGUUGUCCGGAUUUAUUGGGCGUAAAGCGAGCGCAGGCGGUUUUUUAAGUCUGAUGUGAAAGCCUUCGGCUCAACCGAAGAAGUGCAUCGGAAACUGGGAAACUUGAGUGCAGAAGAGGACAGUGGAACUCCAUGUGUAGCGGUGAAAUGCGUAGAUAUAUGGAAGAACACCAGUGGCGAAGGCGGCUGUCUGGUCUGUAACUGACGCUGAGGCUCGAAAGUAUGGGUAGCAAACAGGAUUAGAUACCCUGGUAGUCCAUACCGUAAACGAUGAAUGCUAAGUGUUGGAGGGUUUCCGCCCUUCAGUGCUGCAGCUAACGCAUUAAGCAUUCCGCCUGGGGAGUACGGCCGCAAGGCUGAAACUCAAAGGAAUUGACGGGGGCCCGCACAAGCGGUGGAGCAUGUGGUUUAAUUCGAAGCUACGCGAAGAACCUUACCAGGUCUUGACAUACUAUGCAAAUCUAAGAGAUUAGACGUUCCCUUCGGGGACAUGGAUACAGGUGGUGCAUGGUUGUCGUCAGCUCGUGUCGUGAGAUGUUGGGUUAAGUCCCGCAACGAGCGCAACCCUUAUUAUCAGUUGCCAGCAUUAAGUUGGGCACUCUGGUGAGACUGCCGGUGACAAACCGGAGGAAGGUGGGGAUGACGUCAAAUCAUCAUGCCCCUUAUGACCUGGGCUACACACGUGCUACAAUGGAUGGUACAACGAGUUGCGAACUCGCGAGAGUAAGCUAAUCUCUUAAAGCCAUUCUCAGUUCGGAUUGUAGGCUGCAACUCGCCUACAUGAAGUCGGAAUCGCUAGUAAUCGCGGAUCAGCAUGCCGCC
rnacentral:rRNA from 1 species